ACUAAACAUUUUAAUCGUAAAGCCCGUAAAGGAGCUGAAAAACGUAACUUCGGUCGACACCCCCUUCACCGUGAGCUGGAUACAUGGCUACAUGGAUACAGGGAUACAGGAUAGAGGGAAAUCGACGAUGUUCUACGAGAACAAAUUGGGAAAAUAUGUUAUGUCUAUGUAGAUGAUGUAAUAAUUUUUCCGAAAACGAAAAUGAUCACGUUAAACACAUCGACACAGUGCUACAACGACUCUGCGAUGCAAACAUGAGAGUGGCCCCAGAAAAGAAAAAGUUCUUUAAAGAAAUCGUAGAGUUCUUAGGCUUCAUAGUUACCAAGGGAGGAGCCAAGACCGACCCAGAAAAAGUAAGGGCAAUAAAGGAAUACACUGAACCCAAAACCUGGUUCAGUCCCAGGUCCUUCCUCGGGCUGGCGAGCUAUUACAGGAGCUUCGUCAGAGAUUUCGCGACAAUAGCGAGACCCUUAACCGCAUUACUCAAAGGAGAAAAUGGCAGUCAGUCCAAGAAAGUUGAGAUUCUGUUCGGUGAAACGCAACGCAACGAAUUCGACCGUCUGCGAAACAUUUUGGCGUCAGAGGACGUCAUCCUUACGUACCCUGAUUUCAAACUACCCUUCGAUCUAACUACCGAUGCCUCAGCAAGUGGCAUUGGGGCGGUUCUGUCCCAAAACGGCAGGCCAAUCACAAUGAAAUCGCGAACACUAAAAGAUUGCGAAUUACACUACGCCACAAACGAAAGGGAGUUGUUGGCAAUUGUAUGGGCUAUAGGGAAGUUACAAAAUUACUAUUACGGUACCAAGGAAGUAAGAAUCUUUACCGAUCACCAGCCCUUAACAUUUGCUGUGUCCGAUAGGAACACAAAUGCCAAAAUAAAACGGUGCAAAGCCUUUAUAGAGGAACAUAACGCUAAGGUGUUCUAUAAACCGGGUAAGUCCGAUGCUGCCACGGUGAAAAGCGGGCUCUCUGUCUUACACAGUGGAAACCACGAAUAAGCCCCUCAAGUGUUUCAGAAACCAAAUAAUUCUGGAAGAAGCUAGCCAGCCUCUGCGUCAAAACUUCAUAAUUUUCGGCGGCAAAACCCGCCACAUUAUUCAUUUUAUGUUUUUAUAUUUAUCUGAAAAGAUUUGUCUGUAAAAGGUGGAUUUGGUAACAAUGUUGAUAAUACGGCAGCAACGAAGUCGAGAAGCGACGGCGUUUCCAUAAUAUGCAUACUGUUUUGAAUAAAGCAGUAUAAAAUCUGCAUUUAAAACAAUUACAGCAUUCAAAUACAAUAACAACUUUUAUUGAUAUAUUUAUUUUCUCCAACCCCCAAGGGUCCGGCCACCAAUCCCCACCCCUCAUUUUGCACAUGUUGCGGCAGGUCAGGUUCAUACGCCAAGCCCCGAAAACAAAAUCAAAUCAUCAAAACGAAUUUUCGUUCCAUCGCUCUUCAGAAAGUCAGCUCACCAACACAUACAUUACUUGUAUGUCCGUGUGAAUCAAGACAAACCCGGUUUGGAGCGCUAAAAAAUCAUUGGCUACACGAACUUAUACAAAUGUAGCUGGGACUUCUAGCUGCGUGCUCUACACGCACUAAUACACAUGUAGCUGGGACUUCUAGCAGCGUGUUCUACACGCACUAAUACUUGUAGCUGCGACAGAGUUGGCAGAGGCCUGGGACUUCGAGGCACACAUUGAGCGGUGACGUUUCGCUUGGCUCAAAUUGAGAGUCUACUAUACUAUUUGGUUAGUGUCUAAGAUCUAAGAUGUGAAAAAACAAACCGCUACCUCUGAAAAAAUGGUUAAAUAAAUACCAGAUUUUACAAAUUCCUCAAAAAAAAAUGAAUCCUGAAUAUGAUUCAUGGACCGUGUGGCACUAGUGCGGCAAGUGUUCCAAACGGUUUCCACGAAAAUUGACGGCAGAGACCAUUACAGGCAACGAUGGUUAUCCAUUGUAUCGGCGUCGAUGGAAGAACUGUCACAACUAAAGUGAAAGGAAACGAUUUCGUAGUUGACAACAGUUGGAUUGUUCCAUAUUCGCCACUUCUUUCCAAAACAUUCAAAGCAAAUUGUAAUGUUGAGUAUUGCAAUUCGGUCAAGUCAAUUAAAUACAUUUGCAAAUAUGUCACGAAAGGGAGUGACAUGGCGGUUUUUGGUAUCCAAGCAUCCAAUACCAACGACGAAAUCACACUCUAUCAAGUUUGUAGAUAUGUGAAUUGCAAUGAAGCAAUUUGGCGUAUAUUUUCAUUCCCUAUUCACGAACGUCAUCCCACUGUUUUACAUUUGGGGGUGCAUCUAGAGAACGGUCAGAGAGUAUAUUUCACAGCGUCGAAUGCUGCUCAACGUGCCGAAAAACCUCCAGCGACAACAGUUUCCAGUUUCUUUUCGAUUUGUCAAGGCGAUCCGUUCGCACGAACUUUGCUUUACUCAGAAAUGCCACGUUAUUACAUUUGGAACGCUACAUCGAAGAAAUUUCAACGUCGGAAGCAAGACGAUGCAGUUCCUGGUCAUCUAGAUAUGCGUUCUACUGAUGCUCUCGGUCGUAUUUACACAGUUCAUCCGAAGAAUGAUGAAUGUUUCUAUUUGCGGUUGUUGCUGGUACAUGUUCGAGGGCCAACACCAUUUGAAUUCAUGCGAACUGUUAAUGGUAUCGUGUGCCCCACAUUUCGUGCAGCAUGUCAAGAGCUACAUUUGCUUGAAAACGAUACUCAUUGGGACACGACAAUCGCUGAAGCAAUUAUUUCUGCAUCUCCAAGUCAGAUACGCACAUUAUUGGCUAUUAUAAUUUCAACAUGCUUCCCAUCGAACCCACUUGACCUGUGGAACAAAUACAAAGAUAACAUGUCCGAAGAUAUUUUACAUCGAAUUCGCGUCAGCUCAAGAAAUUACGAUCUUGAGGUGAAUGGGGAGAUCCAUAACCAGACUUUGCUCUUGAUCGAAGAUAUGUGUUACCUCAUGUGCGGCAGUUUGUUAGUUAGGUUAGGAAUGCCAGCGCCAGAUCGCGGAAUGAAUGACGCAUUUAAUAGAGAAUUGGAACGUGAACAUGAAUAUGAUCCACAUGAACUAAUCCAAUCAGUUCAAACGAAUGUACAUCUGUUGAAUCCUAAGCAGAGGGAAGUCUAUGAUACACUGAUUAAUGCAAUUGAUGAUGGAAAUGGCGGCUUAUUUUUUUUGGAUGCCCCCGGUGGAACUGGGAAGACAUUCCUCAUGUCAUUGAUUUUGGCCACUGUACGUGCGAGAUCCGAAAUUGCGGUAGCAAUUGCUUCUUCUGGAAUAGCGGCCACAUUGUUAGACGGAUGCUGUACGGCUCACUCAGCGUUAAAAUUGCCAUUAAACCUUCAAACUACUGAACAACCAACAUGUAACAUUUCGAAAAACUCCGCAUCAAAAAUCAUCAUAUGGGACGAAUGCACAAUGGCGCACAAACGCCCAUUGGAAGCACUAGACCGAACAUUAAAAGAUCUGCGCAAUGACUCGAGAUGUUUUGGUGGUGCACUGAUUUUAUUAUCUGGCGAUUUCCGACAAACACCACCAGUCAUUCCAAGAUCUACUGCUGCAGACGAAACAAACGCUUGCCUCAAAGGAUCAAAUCUGUGGCGAUAUGUAAAGAAACUUCAACUGUCCGUAAAUAUGAGAGUUGCAUUGUUGAACGAUCUAUCUGCUGAUGAUUUCUCGAAGCAAUUGCUGACUAUCGGUAAUGGCCGUGUUCCUGUUGACAAAUCGAGCGGUUUGAUUUCAUUUCCUCCAAAUUUUUGCAAUUUCGUAUCAUCAAAAGACGAGCUUAUCAACAACGUAUUCCCGAAUAUCAUUGCUAACCACAAAAAUACUAAAUGGUUAAGUGAGCGAGCAAUUUUAGCCGCUAAAAAUAAAGAUGUAGAUGACCUCAAUCUUAUAAAUCAAAAUCAAAUCGUAGGUACCCUAUAUUCAUUCAAAUCUAUCGACUGUGUAACAAACGAAGAAGAAGCCACCAAUUAUCCAACUGAAUUUUUCAACUCCUUGGAUGUGCCUGGUUUACCACCGCACAAUUUAAAACUUAAAGUUGGCUCGGUAGUCACUAUGCUUAGAAAUUUAAACCAACUAAAACUGUGCAGUGGAACGCGUUUGGUGAUAAGAAAACUGAUGAGCAAUGUGAUUCACACGUCGAUACUUAAAGGAAAAUUUAAAGAUGAGGAAGUUCUUAUUCCAAGGAUUCCGAUGAUCCCAACGGAUCUUGCCUUCGCCAAGACGAUCAACAAAUCACAGGGCCAUUCCUUGACUAUUUGUGGCCUCAAUCUAGAAAAUGAAUGUUUUUCUCAUGGUCAAUUGUACGUGGCAUACUCACGUGUCGGCAAACCAUCCGCUUUAUUUGUUCUUGCACUUGACCAAAAAACAAAGAAUGUGUUCCAUGAUCAAUGUUUACCACAAAGUGCUUGAAUGAAAAUCCUAUUACCAUCGCAUUGGAUCAUUGCAACCCAUAGAAGAUGCAUCGCAUAAAUUCUUGCAAUAUGGGCAAUAUGGAAAACAACUUGACAGGCGUCAAGGGAUCAACACAGCUACGAAGAGAGCAAUUCUCCAAGAUCUACAGCAAAUGCUUCAUGAACAUCAUGCAUUGGUCAGGCUGUUCAAGACUGCUUUAGAGCGCAUGCCAAGUGAUUGCAAUUCGGUCAAGUCAAUUAAAUACAUUUGCAAAAUUUGUCACGAAAGGGAGCGACAUGGCGGUUUUUGGUAUCCAAACAUCCAAUACCAACGAUGAAAUCACGCGCUAUCAAGGUUGUACUUUUUUGUUUCUAUCUAUAUAAACAUAUUAUUUUACGUUCAUCAAAGCCUAAAUUAGUUCAGCUAAAAAGUAACACGACAUUCAUUGACUGUUAGGCGGUGCGAAGUUCGCCGGGUCAGCUAGUCAGCUAGCAUUUAAAUGUAAAUGAAACAAUACCGUUAGCAUGUAUAAAUUAUCUUUGUGCAUAUCCAUUUUUUUGGCCAUGAUGCUUCAAUCUCUUGUUUGGUAUCUGGAAAAAAUAAAAACGACAUAUAAAUAAUAAAUAAACUAUUUAAAAACUGCCAUCAGAUCAGUUUGAAUAUUAUUUCAUAAUAAUUUUUAAUGUAACUGUUAAAGAACUGUGCAACCCUGGCUUUGAUUUGCUACCUGAAAAUAUGUUGAAAAGCGUG
rnacentral:lncRNA from 1 species